AUGGUGUUCCCAGGCAGGGGAAGGAUCCGUGUCAAUGCUGACAGUAUUCAAAGGGUAUUUGAUCUUCCUAAUAGGGGUCAAAAAGUCAGAUAUGUAGUUGACAAGGAUGCAACUAGGAGAUUCAGAGAGGCUUUCACCAUACAUGGAGAUUCUCAUCCCCAGAUCACUACAUGGUGCAAGAUGAUUAAGGAUCAAGCGAAGCAAACUGUUUGCUGCUGCUUGUAUCACUUGAUGAUCCUGUACCUUGGCGCGCCCGUUCAUGACAUCCCAGUAAGCAAUUGCACGAUACGAGCGAAUGCAUGGGACAAUAACCUAAUUGUCAAGGUGAUGAAGAAGGACUCGAUCUCUCCUGGUGUGUUCGACAAAUUACAACUUAAAGAGGAGUAUAGGGGCACGAAGCAGACACCACUGUUUGGUGGUCUUUUGCAAGCUCAAGCAUUUGUUGCAUCCAAAUUACCACUAACGUACAAUCCACAGAAAAAGGCAAAGAUAGCCAAUGUGGUCAAUGACUUGAGCAAGGCAGUAACUAAACAGGUUGGCACCUUCAUUGAAGCAGUUGCCAAGAUUGAUGAUGAGGAACCGGAUAUUGAUCCAUAUGUACAACAGACAUCACCGCUCUGUCACGCUGUGCUCCAAAAAGGAAGAGACGGGAGGAGGACAAAAAGGAGGAUGACAAAGAGGAAGAUGAGGAGGAGGAGGAAGAGGAGGAGGAGGACAAAGAAAAAGAGGACAAAGGAGAGGAGGAGGGCAAGGAAGAAGAUACAAUUGAUGGUAGUGAGGGGGAAGGAGAUGACGAGUAAGAAGAAGAGGAUGCUGAUCCUGAUGAUCAAGGGGGGUCCAAUGGAGGCAGCGGCAGCUUCAAUGAUGAUGAUUACAAUGGCCCUGGUUCUGGUGGUAUAG
rnacentral:rRNA from 1 species